rnacentral:ncRNA from 1 species
AAUACUAAUUCUGAAUCAGGUGCGAAUAAGUCCUUGACUCUUAUUCGCUUAAAAGGGAAAUCGGUGUUAAUCCGAUGCUGUCCCGCAACUGUAUUUGAUAGUGAACUGGAGAUACCACUGCUCUUAAGGAUAAUAAGAGUGGGAAGGAUUCAGGGAUCGAUGAUCAUAAGCCAGGAGACCUGCCUGUUUCAGCGAACAUCA